AUUGAACGCUGGCGGCAGGCCUAACACAUGCAAGUCGAGCGAGCGGCGGACGGGUGAGUAAUGUCUGGGAAACUGCCUGAUGGAGGGGGAUAACUACUGGAAACGGUAGCUAAUACCGCAUACCAUCAGAUGUGCCCAGAUGGGAUUAGCUAGUAGGUGGGGUAACGGCUCACCUAGGCGCCGAGCCCUAGCUGGUCUGAGAGGAUGACCAGCAACACUGGAACUGAGACACGGUCCAGACUCCGACGGGAGGCAGCAGUGGGGAAUAUGGCACAAUGGGCUAAAGCCUGAUGCAGCCAUGCCGCGUGUGUGAAGAAGGCGUUCGGGUUGUAAAGCACGUUCAGCGGGGAGGCGUUACCCGCAGGAGAAGCACGGGCUAACUCCGUGCGAGCAGCCGCGGUAAUUC
rnacentral:rRNA from 1 species